UGUUUAUUACAUUUGAAUUAACAGUGACAGCUGAAUGUUUGUGUAUUAGGUCUGCCCAUCAAUGAGGCAUUUCAGCCCAUUUUGAAUUUGGAGCAUGAGGCCAUAAUUGGUGGCUUUAAAUGUCUAUACUGGCUGGUAAAACAUGAAAUUGCGCACCAUACAAAUUACCCGGCAUUGCUGGAUCUGGCAGACCUCCUAGGCUGCGAAUAUUUUGCCAAACUGAAGAUUGAUCAGAGGACAAACUACAGGUCCCACAGGAUUGUGGAUGAAAUGCUACAGAUUCUGGGUGAAGUGGUUGAGGAGCCCAUUUUAGAGGCCAUUAAAUCAUCAAAGGCUAUUGGCCUGGAAAUUGAUGAGUCCACAGACAUCUCUGUGACAAAACAGUUAGAUCUCCAUGUCAGGUACACAGACAAGGAAGGACGGAUGUUCUGUCAAUUCCUGGAUCUUGUAUCUAUUCCAGAUGGCACAGCUAUAACUAUAGCUGAAGCUGUGAAGGAGGUCAUCAUAAGAAAAGAAAUACCUCAGGACCGCAUCUUUGGCCUUGGCACAGAUGGAGCCGCAGUGAUGACCGGAAGAAGGAACGGCACAGCAAAAUUGCUGACUGACUCCUGGCCAGGAUUAGUGUCAGUGCACUGUGCUGCUCAUCGCCUUGCACUAGCAUGUAAAGAUGCAGCAGAUGGAGUGCCAUAUAUGAAAAUAUUCAGAAAGCACCUACAAGACCUGCACCUUUAUUUUAGGAAUAGUGCAAACCGCACCAGCGCUCUAAAAGCAGCUGCAAGUGUGCUUGGAGUAGAAGACCUGAAAGUCACAGAGGUUAAGGACACUAGGUGGCUAUCACAAGAGAAGGCCAUUUCAAAUCUUCAAAGAAAUCUACCUGCAGUGCUUGCUACACUAGCU